rnacentral:lncRNA from 1 species
CCCAGUGGCUGCUGGAUCGUCUUGGUCCAGAGCCCGUCACGGUUUAUUCCGAUAGCCAAUCGUUGCUUCAGGCCUUGAUCGACGGAUACCAUUGAGGACGAAUGGUAUUGGAGAUCAGAGAGGUAUGGUACUGGCGAUGCGGCAUUGCACAGCUGUCGUUCUCUGUCGGAUCCGUGGCCUCACGGACAUCUACGGGAACGAGCGUGCGGAUUUUCUGGCCAGGACAUCGGCCCGGGGUCCAGUCGUGACCGUGACUGUUCCCCCAUCUGCCAGCUACACCAAAGGUACUCUACUGCAGUUAUCGAUGACAAAUUGGCAGGAGAGCUGGUCUGCUAGCACCGUGGCUAAGACCA